rnacentral:rRNA from 1 species
AACGUACGCUGGCGGCACGCCUAACACAUGCAAGUCGAACGCAGUAGCAAUACUGAGUGGCAGACGGGUGAGUAACAUGUGGGAAUCUGCCUUGUGGUUCAGGACAACAUUGGGAAACCGAUGCUAAUACUGGAUAAGCCCUUACGGGGAAAGUUUUAAUGCCAUAAGAUGAGCCCGCAUUUGAUUAGUUAGUUGGUGAGGUAAUGGCUCACCAAGACAAUGAUCAAUAGCUGAUCUGAGAGGAUGAUCAGCCACACUGGGACUGAGACACGGCCCAGACUCCUACGGGAGGCAGCAGUGGGGAAUCUUGCACAAUGGAGGAAACUCUGAUGCAGCGAUGCCGCGUGAGUGAAGAAGGCCUUUGGGUUGUAAAGCUCUUUUGUAGGGGAAGAUAAUGACUGUACCCUAAGAAUAAGGCCCGGCUAACUUCGUGCCAGCAGCCGCGGUAAUACGAAGGGACCUAGCGUAGUUCGGAAUUACUGGGCGUAAAGCGCGCGUAGGCCGUUGAGUUAGUUAAUUGUGAAAUCCCAAAGCUUAACUUUGGAACUGCAAUUAAAACUGCUCAACUAGAGUUUGAUAGAGGAAAGCGGAAUACAUAGUGUAGAGGUGAAAUUCGUAGAUAUUAUGUAGAACACCAGUUGCGAAGGCGGCUUUCUGGAUCAACACUGACGCBNNNGCGCCNGCGCSCGUC